rnacentral:rRNA from 1 species
GAGAAAGAAGAAGAGGUAAAACCGGCAGCUCGAGUGGUAGCCGCGUUUAUUGGGCCUAAAGCGUCCGUAGCCGGUCCGAUAAGUCUCUGGUGAAAGCCCACAGCUUAACUGUGGGAAUCGCUGGAGAUACUAUCGGACUUGAGGCCGGGAGAGGCUGGAGGUACUCCCAGGGUAGGGGUGAAAUCCUAUAAUCCUGGGAGGACCACCUGUGGCGAAGGCGUCCAGCUGGAACGGACCUGACGGUGAGGGACGAAAGCCAGGGGCGCGAACCGGAUUAGAUACCCGGGUAGUCCUGGCCGUAAACGAUGCGGACUUGGUGUUGGGACGGCUUUGAGCUGUCCCAGUGCCGAAGGGAAGCUGUUAAGUCCGCCGCCUGGGAAGUACGGCCGCAAUGUUGAAACUUAAAGAAAUUGGCGG